AACGAACGCUGGCGGCAUGCCUAACACAUGCAAGUCGAACGAGACCUUCGGGUCUAGUGGCGCACGGGUGCGUAACGCGUGGGAAUCUGCCCUUGGGUUCGGAAUAACAGUUGGAAACGACUGCUAAUACCGGAUGAUGACGUAAGUCCAAAGAUUUAUCGCUCAAGGAUGAGCCCGCGUAGGAUUAGCUAGUUGGUGAGGUAAAGGCUCACCAAGGCGACGAUCCUUAGCUGGUCUGAGAGGAUGAUCAGCCACACUGGGACUGAGACACGGCCCAGACUCCUACGGGAGGCAGCAGUGGGGAAUAUUGGACAAUGGGCGAAAGCCUGAUCCAGCAAUGCCGCGUGAGUGAUGAAGGCCUUAGGGUUGUAAAGCUCUUUUACCCGGGAUGAUAAUGACAGUACCGGGAGAAUAAGCUCCGGCUAACUCCGUG
rnacentral:rRNA from 1 species